AAUAUUGAGACAUAUAAAAAAAGACAACUCUGUUCCGCAGAGUACCUAUUGACAUUAUAGUUGCACAGGCACUUUGUUGACUCUAGAGAACCUCGGGCCAAUCACACAUCCCCGUGGCAGCCACUUUGCAUGCGGAUGUCAUCUAUAUCAUCUUUCGAUGCCAGUUUCUGGGCCUACCAUGGUGACCAGGGGUAACGGGGAAUCAGGGUUCCAUUCCAUACAGGAACCCUGAGAAACGGCUACCACAUGCAAGGAAGGUAGCAGGCGCACAAAUGACACACUCCCGGCACGGGAAGGUAGUGA